CCGCCAUGCCCAUUCCGCGUCCUGUGACUAUACAUGGAAUCUGCAGCAGUAACAUGGCUGAAGAUCUUUUAGAUCAUAUUCUUGAUUUCCUAAUUGAGCCCCCAUAUUAUAUUGCCUACGCUCCAGUUGGCAUAGGCAUGCGGGGGUGUGGGAUAUACCACAUCAGCGGAGCAUCUUUGUACAAUCCUUAUCUCUUGAAUUAGUUCUUCAGGUUGAAUUAGCAUCAAAAUCUACUUUCCUUAACCACAAGGUUUGCAUUUAUUGUUGUUUGAACCAUAUUAGUCCUUAUUGAGUGUUGAUAACAUCUUACUUUGGCUCACAAAUCCAUACCAAUAAUUACUGGCAUAUAUAUAUUUACUUUUGCCAGCUAUUUAUUGUUGUGUUUGAUUGUUUUGAGCAAAAGUUUUUGGAAUAAGAUGUCUCCUUUCCUUGAUCACCGACUCCAAUCAAACGUAGCUACCACCUGUAUGAAUAUUAUUUGGUUAGUUGAUUCAAUUCUCAAAGAUUGGAACUUAUCAAGAAUAACAAUAAUAAUAUAACAGUAACAAUAGUAUCAAAGAUAUGAUGCUGUAAAUAAUCUCAGUUAACAGUUUUCUGAUGAGAAUGAGUUAUCUUGAAAUAUGUAUCAUUCAAGAUAUAUAUAAACAUCCCUUCGCCAAAAUUGAAUUAUUAUACCGGUCAUUGUUGGCGGGAUAGAAUUUUCAUCAAGAGAUUUGAUAUUUAUUAUUAUUAUAUAGAUUAAAAAGAAAACCUUAUAUAUAUACAAUGUAAUUUUCUUACCCCUUCUGUCCUUCUAGUUUCGCACCCUAUUGUUUGUGGAAAUGACUUUGUUUUGGAUUCCAAAGAAAGAAGAUCAUUUACAUGCAAUUUUCCUUUAUUUGAUCUAUUAACAACUAUCAUCGUCCUUGUUUCAACACGUUGCACAUUUAAAUACGAGGAAUAACAUAUAUUAGAUGUUUCAUGUAUUUCACUCACAAAAUUUCAAACUUUUUAAUUUUUUUUUUUUUUUUUUUUUACUUACUACACUUCAAAAAAAAGCUCAAUUACCCUUACACAUUGAUUUCUUUAAUUUGCACAAACUUUUUUCUCCAAAAUCUUAAUUUGAAAACGUUUUCCAAAAGUUGUGCAUCUGAUUCUUAUUUUAAUGAUUGAUUUUUUUUACAGCCAAAAGCCAAGUUAUGGGAUGCGGCAUAGUGACUGGUUAUAUUCUCCGCAUGUGGCAAAAUGAUAUACCACUACAUUGUGAAGCCUCUAUUCAAGAUAUGUGAAUUUUAGAUAUAAAUUGAAGUCCCCUUUUGUCUAUACUUAUUGAGAUAAUGAAAUAGAAACAAUCAUAGAGGGCGGAGUUAUUCGUACAAGGAAUACGUUAAAUAAGAUUACUAUAUUGGGUGAGGAUGGAAUUCUUUUACACUUUAUUCUCGAGGAUUGAGUUCUUUCCUCUACGAGACAAAACUCCUUUAUCUUCUUUAAUUUGGCUUUGUAAUUGUUGACAUGAGCAUUAUAGGUUUUGAUGAUUGACAAAAAAAUACAUGUAUGGAUCAUGUUCAUGGACACUGUACACAAGUCACGAUCAGAAUCAAGUAAAAGAUAUACACGUACAAGGGAUAAGUAUAAGUGGUUAUUUCUGAUAAUUCCUGAAUGAAAAGAUUGCAUAUUUGAUAAGGAGCAUGACUCCUUACGUGAAGAGAACUCUAUCCAAGAUAAGGAAAGAGUUAAAAGUUGAAGUUAACUAAAACUCUUCCACCAAGGAAGAAUAAAACAUCCGACUUCUAGUUAUCCUCUAUUCUACUCUCUAUAAAUAUAAGUGUUAUUCUCUUUUACAAGGAUCACACACAUACUGAAGUUAAGCAAAAAUUAAGAGCAAAAUAGCAAGACAUUUUGUGUGCAAUUCAUGUGAGAUUCAAGGGUGCGAACCUGAAGCUACAUGAACCAGACUGAAAAACCAGUUCCAUGUGUCUGUCUUUAAUUCUAGUUCAAAUGUAGUACAAGAUUUUGAGUGGUACCUUUUAGCUUUCUUUAAAAGCAUUUGUACUAGGUACUUGCAUUGUCUUAAUCAAGUUAGAGUUAACUUGAAGUAAUCGCAAUAGCUCGUGGGGUGUAGCUACGAGGGUUAGACUCAUGCUCGUGGAGCAAACAGUGACUGCACUCGAUCUUGUGUGUGUGUGUUAUAUUCUUUUUGAUGACUGGCAGACCCAUUAAUGUGGGUGAGAUCAUGCUCGGUGAGAUGGCCCGCACGCGAUUUGGGCGGCAGAUUAGGAGGUUCUUCUUCGGCAACUCGCUCACGCAAUAUAUGCUUUCCCGAGGGGUGCCGGAGUACCCAGGGUAUGUUAAGGUGGUGGAGGUGCCUACAGGACUAUUGGACAUCACAUACUUGUUGGAGAUGUCGAUUACGCUCACUCAGGCAGCACGGAACGAACGAGAUGAUAACUUCAACAGUUACCUCUAUAACUCUUUAAAUUUACUCAUGAGAAAGGCUGGUAUUUCAGACGAGGAGCGUAUGCAUUUACGCAAUGACUUGUCGAGCUCGUCCAAGGAGAUGUUGGGGAUUACACCUGGCAGCCCAGUUCACUCGUCGGAGGACGCAAACACUAUCAAGAGCUCAAACACAGAGGAAGAUGUGGAUGAUGAUGUUACGAGGGCCUUGGCUUUGGUGCCUCUAGGACCUGAUGAUGAUGUGCCCGGCGCUGCGGAUGGAGUGCAUGCUGAGGAGGAGGACUCCGACUAACAGGGAGUUUUCUUUUCACCCUACUCUAUUUUACAUUUUUAUAUGUAUCAGGGACUAUGCAUAAUAUAAGUGUGGGGUGGGAGGAAUACUACUUGUGAUGUACUUGUAUAAAUUAUAUCACUUUGUUUCUUUUACUAGUUUUACUUAGUCUAGUUUUAGUCUAGUUUGUUUUUACAAAACAAUUUAGAAAAAACUCGAACUUUUCCCGACGAUAGAUCUUUUGGACAAUUUUCUUGAGGGAUAGAGUCUGAUUAAAAACACCAAAAAAGAUUUUUUUUAAGGAUAGUUAGGUAGUAUACCUUGUUUUUUCUUUUAGCGUCGGUUCUUUUUCAAGGGUGUAGCUUGAACCGGGUACUUAAUUUUUUUUUUUGAGUAGGUUAGGAAGAAACUGAGUUGCUUUGAGCUACUUAGUGACAUGUUUAGUACUGGUACAUUAGGUUAUGACAUACAUUCUAUCUUUCCGUAUAUUUGGUUUGAAUUGUGACGCCUAAGUAAAGUAAAUAGCCUAUUUUGUGAUGCUUUUCCUCAGUUGUUUGACUUGUAUGCCACAUAGUGCAUUAUUGCUUGAAUUUUCUCAAUUAUGUGUGCUUGCGUGACUUGAGAGUUAAACAGAACCUUCUUGAUUGAGUCAUGUGCAAUGUGUGUGUGAGGAGUUGUGAUCUUCCGUGCUAUCUUGUGUAAUCUAGAACUUACCCCGUGUAUUAAUCGAAGCGAAAUUGUUAAGUUAUGAUAAUUUAGGAGAUGGCGUAGGCGUUUCUUGCUUGAUCAUAGAUGUGCUUGUCACAUAAAAAUAAAAAUUUUCGUUGCUAGCCCCCUUGAGCCUAUAGACCUUUCUUUUGGCACCCAUAUUAUAAGCCAUACCCCUAUUUUGUUCUUAAUUUAAGAUUGUUGAACCUUUACCUCUUAAGGCAUUUAGUCUCUAAAAGAAGUAACGUGAGAGAUUUGGGGAGUAGCUUUCGAAUGGAACCAUGGAAGGGAUUUUUGGUGCACUAAAGUUGACAUCAAAAGUCACUAGCCGAUGAACUUUAAUGUAUGGAGUGUGUGAAGAAAAAAAAAAGAGAGAAAGAAAAAAAAAAUUGCAAGAAAAGAGAAAACAAAUGAUAGUCAAAGUAUGUAGAAAAAAGUAUACAUCUUCAAAUCUUAUUAAUUUGUGCUAGUGGGAGUAUAGAAGUGCUUAAUGAAAGUAAGGGCUAUAUUGUGUAUGGGUUGUGGCAAGUGAAUUAGUUGAGAAGAAUAUGGGCUCGAAUUGUGAGUGUAGUGUAUUAAAGUGCUUCGGAGGGUUAGUCACUAUUUCUAAAUAUAUCAUACUUGUCCCUUAGCCUACGUUACAACUUUAAAGUCCUAAUUGAUCCUAGAUUUAGCUAGCUUAGAUUAGUAGAGAUGUACAUUACGGGCAAGCUUAUGGUACGACCACGGGAUGUAUAUGAAUUCUUUGUGAGAGUGAGCGAAUUUUGUUCAAUUGUGUGAUGUCCUUAAUUUAUAUUCAAAAGCAUGUUUGAAUGUGUGGAUUAAUCUAUAUUCAUUCUUUUAAUGUCGGUAAGGGCACAUGAUCUCAUGAAUGAUUGGUAAUGUUGUAAACUUUCUUGUUGGGCGAGUACAAGAGUUGAGGGUGCUUAGUGGUAACAAGUCAAUUUUUGAGGUUGGGUGGUUACAAAUAGGUUGUUGGAAUUGAUUGAAUUGAAAUGUUAUACUUGGGCAUGAUUAAAACGGGAAGAAUGCGAUAUUUUGUAUGUUCAGGCUUGAUUGCCGGUACUGAUCAUAGUCAAGGGUAGAGUGUAUGGUUAAAAGUUGAAGUGCUCCUCUGUAGUUGAGAUUUGUACGUAAUUGGGGGUAUAUUUGAUAGUCUCAUUGCUCGAGGACGAGCAAGAGUCUAAGUAUGGGGUGUUGAUGUUUAGCUUAAAGUAUAUAUAAUUAUAUGUAUAUCGCCUCAUGUUUUACUAUUGUUUCGUGGAUUUAUGAUGUAAAAUAUGUUAAUUUAUAUUAAUUCGAGAUGUUUUUAUGUGCAGGAAUGAUCCGGGAGCAAUUAGGGGCAAAAGAUGCGAAAUUAGAGCCAAAACGGACGAAAAAAAGGAAAGGGGCAUUUCCAGCGCCACAGGUAGCUCCCUACGCUACAUGUGGCACCCCAGACAAAACGUGAAAUUUACUAGUGCCAGGGACGACGCCUAGCUCUGGGAUAGACACUGGUGACGGGAUUUCUAUCCAACUUUGCCCGGGACAAUGUUAUUUCGUCCCUAAACCUACCCAAUACCUAUAAAAGUAAGACUAAGCUUAUUUUUAAGGGAUAGACGCCACUUUGAAGGGAGAAUGCACACGAGAAACAUUCGGGAGCAAAGAGAUCUCAGUUUUCUUCAUCUUUUCUUAGUAUUUUUAAUUAUCCAACACUUAUGAAAUUGUUUGCUAGUAUCAUGAGUGGUUAAAAUCUAUAGUUCUGGGGUUAUAAUUUAGCCAUGAAUAUUGUUGUUUAACGUUGGCUUAACCUUGAUUUCAAUUCACUAAUAUAUAGUUAUUUCUUCUAUUCUGUGAUUAAUUGCUUAAUUGUCUGGCCAUCAGUUAGAUUCUAUUUACUAUCUAUGCUAUGCUUGGGAAAGCCAUGUUUAGAUUAGAGAAGAAUUGAAGAGAGCAUGAUCUUAACUCUUAAGGGGGACGGAUUUGUAGUUAGGAUAGGAAUAUACCUAGUCACCGUGCUUAUUUAAUUAUCGUAAUCUUAAUGCAUUCUUAAUAGAUUGAUUCUAUAGGAAUAUAGACGUUAAUCUAUUUUGAAUAGGCGAGUAGUACUUCGGGAGAAGGCUAUGAGAGCAAUUAUCGAUUAAUUAGCAACCAUGAGUGAAUUGUAUGAAAGGGAGAGUUAACUAGAACACAAUAGGAUUGGUGAAUCGAUCACAAUCCUGGAAUAUUUGUCUCUAUUGAAUACAUAACAAUCAUUUUACUGGUUGAUAAUUUAGUUACUACUUAGAAUUAUAGUUUAGUAUAAUCACAUUCUUGAACUCGAAUUUGGCUUGACUGAAUAACAAUUUUGGUAAAUUUAGUGGGUAGUUGAUACAAGUCUCUGUGGGUUCGACACUCGACAUAUCAUUUUAUUACUUGUACGACCACGUAUACUUGCGUGUGCGUUUGGGAGUGACACUUAUUGACAAUCAAACAGGUUAAAUUCUAAAUCCUAUAAAUAACACAUUUCAAAAGUUGCAUACUUGUAAACAUCACCAACCAUAUCACAACUCCAGAAAAAUAGUUUUCAAACACAUAAAGCACAUCUACAACAAAACCAAUUUGAAUUUGGAAAGAAAAAAAUUUAAUAUUCAAUACUAUGAAGAAAACUAAAAAUCUGUUUAUACUUUAGUUGUGCUCUUUGAACAAUCCUAAAAUAUUACCUUGAGAUUGAUUCAAACAUAACGCAGAGCAGAAAGAGAAAAAACAGCCAGUGACAAUUGUGUCUUCUCUGAAGGUCCCCAAGAGUUCUAAAAUACAUAUGCAAAAAGAAAUAUUUCAAUUAAGACCCAAAUCACAGAAAUUAACCUACAAAAUACACAAAAAUUCUGAAUUUUACAACCUAUAAUACCUAAUACAGAAGGAGAAAGAGGACUUACAUCUCGAUUUCAAUAAAAAGUGUUAUAUCCUUCUUCAAAAUAUACCGAUUAUACCAAAUUUCUAUUACUUUCUGCUGAGAAUCGCAAAACAUCAAGAUGAAAGAAAGAGAAAAAAUCAGGAAAGGGAAAACACAAAUUAACAGAGAAAAAAAAUUUAAAACCCACAUGCAAGAAGAAAGAAAGACAGAAAAGCAAAAUCAAAGAAUGGGGAAGAGGAAUUACCAUAGAUCUGAAGUUUGAUUGUAGAAAACUAUUUCACAUGUUCUCCUUUACAAAUCUCUUUCAUUUGUAUCUGAAACAUGC
rnacentral:lncRNA from 1 species